rnacentral:rRNA from 1 species
CCUACGGGAGGCAGCAGUGGGGGAUAUUGCACAAUGGGGGGAACCCUGAUGCAGCGACGCCGCGUGGGUGAAGAAGCGCCUCGGCGCGUAAAGCCCUGUCAGAAGGGAAGAAAAUGACGGUACCUGAAGAAGAAGCCCCGGCUAACUACGGGCCAGCAGCCGCGGUAAUACGUAGGGGGCAGGCGGUAUACGGAUUUACUGGGUGUAACGGGGGCGCAGACGGCGAUGCAAGCAAGGAGUGAAAGCCCGGGGCCCAACCCCGGGACGGCUCUUGGAACUGCGUGGCUUGAGUGCAGGAGGGGCAGGCGGAAUUCCUGGUGUAGCGGUGAAAUGCGUAGAUAUCAGGAGGAACACCGGUGGCGAAGGCGGCCUGCUGGACUGCAACUGACGUUGAGGCACGAAAGCGUGGGGAGCAAACAGGAUUAGAUACCCGAGUAGUC